rnacentral:rRNA from 1 species
GACGAACGCUGGCGGCGUGCCUAAUACAUGCAAGUCGAACGCACAGUUUAUACCGUAGCUUGCUACACCAUAGACUGUGAGUUGCGAACGGGUGAGUAACGCGUAGGUAACCUGCCUGGUAGCGGGGGAUAACUAUUGGAAACGAUAGCUAAUACCGCAUAAUAUUAAUUAUUGCAUGAUAAUUAAUUGAAAGGUGCAAUUGCACCACUACCAGAUGGACCUGCGUUGUAUUAGCUAGUAGGUGAGGUAACGGCUCACCUAGGCGACGAUACAUAGCCGACCGGAGAGGGUGAUCGGCCACACUGGGACUGAGACCCGGCCCAGACUCCUACGGGAGGCAGCAGUAGGGAAUCUUCGGCAAUGGACGAAAGUCUGACCGAGCAACGCCGCGUGAGUGAAGAAGGUUUUCGGAUCGUAAAGCUCUGUUGUAAGAGAAGAACGGGUGUGAGAGUGGAAAGUUCACACUGUGACGGUAGCUUACCAGAAAGGGACGGCUAACUACGUG